rnacentral:antisense_RNA from 1 species
CUUCAACGACCCCAACCACAGCGGCCGCUCGGGCAAGCGGUCCUGCCCGUAGGUCGCCAGCAACGCCUGCGCCUC